UACGGAGGGUGCAAGCGUUAUCCGGAUUCACUGGGUUUAAAGGGUGCGUAGGUGGGUCUGUAAGUCAGUGGUGAAAUCUCCGAGCUUAACUCGGAAACUGCCAUUGAUACUAUAGGUCUUGAAUUUUCUGGAGGUAAGCGGAAUAUGUCAUGUAGCGGUGAAAUGCUUAGAUAUGACAUAGAACACCAAUUGCGAAGGCAGCUUACUACAGGAACAUUGACACUGAGGCACGAAAGCGUGGGGAUCAAACAGG
rnacentral:rRNA from 1 species